UGCUCUGUGCACAAAUCCUUCACAGCC
rnacentral:piRNA from 1 species